UAAUACGGAGGGUGCAAGCGUUAUCCGGAUUUACUGGGUUUAAAGGGUGCGUAGGUGGGCCCGAUAGUCAGUGGUGAAAUACUCUCGCUCAACGAGGGAACUGCCAUUGAUACUUCGGAUCUUGAAUGCAGUGGAGGCGGGCGGAAUGUGUCAUGUAGUGGUGAAAUACUUAGAUAUGACACAGAACACCCAUUGCGAAGGCAGCUCGCUACACUGAUAUUGACACUGAGGCACGAAAGCGUGGGGAGCAAACAGGAUUAGAUACCCUGGUAGUCCACGCCCUAAACGAUGUUCACUCGAUCUCAGCGAUAUACUGUUGGGGUCUAUGCAAAAGCAUUAAGUGAACCACCUGGGGAGUACGGUCGCAAGACUG
rnacentral:rRNA from 1 species